CGGCGGGUGCUAUACAUGCAAGUCGAGCGGAUGAAGGAGGAGCUUGCUCCUCCAGAUUCAGCGGCGGACGGGUGAGUAACACGUGGGCAACCUGCCCUGUAGAUUGGGAUAACUCCGGGAAACCGGGGCUAAUACCGAAUAAUCCACCAGACCACAUGGUCCGGUGUUGAAAGGCGGCUUCGGCUGUCACUACAGGAUGGGCCCGCGGCGCAUUAGCUAGUUGGUGGGGUAACGGCCCACCAAGGCGACGAUGCGUAGCCGACCUGAGAGGGUGAUCGGCCACACUGGGACUGAGACACGGCCCAGACUCCUACGGGAGGCAGCAGUAGGGAAUCUUCCACAAUGGACGAAAGUCUGAUGGAGCAACGCCGCGUGAGUGAAGAAGGUUCUCGGAUCGUAAAACUCUGUUGUGAGGGAAGAACAAGUACCGGAGUAACUGCCGGUACCUUGACGGUACCUCAUUAGAAAGCCACGGCUAACUACGUGCCAGCAGCCGCGGUAAUACGUAGGUGGCAAGCGUUGUCCGGAAUCAUUGGGCGUAAAGCGCGCGCAGGCGGUCCCUUAAGUCUGAUGUGAAAGCCCACGGCUCAACCGUGGAGGGUCAUUGGAAACUGGGGGACUUGAGUGCAGAAGAGGAAAGCGGAAUUCCAAGUGUAGCGGUGAAAUGCGUAGAGAUUUGGAGGAACACCAGUGGCGAAGGCGGCUUUCUGGUCUGUAACUGACGCUGAGGCGCGAAAGCGUGGGGAGCAAACAGGAUUA
rnacentral:rRNA from 1 species